rnacentral:piRNA from 1 species
UAGGUUGAGCGUGAGUGGGCAACUAG